AUUUGAAACAUGAUUCCCUUCAACCAUUAACAGAUAAUACGAUCUCCUUUUUUGAACGUUAACCCUUAGAAGCCCAGUUGAUUUGAUAGGUAACCCAAGGAGAAUCGAUUAAAACUCUCGCAUUCAAUUAAUCCCUACCUUGUCCUACCUACAUCAUCUUCAAAGUAAAUUUCAUGCAAAUAAUCCUAGCAUCGUCCUCCCAACCCCUUGCCAUCCUUUCCAUCCUUCACCCCAACCCCAUUUCCGGAUCUAUCUAUUUUGCUCAUUUGCAAACAAACGUUUCAUUAGAGAGACACAUCGAAGGCAUCAUCAUCAGCUGCAAUCCAUUUGCGUAAAAAGAAGAAGCCUCGGACAACUCGUUACCAUAUGCCCAACUCUCGAUUAUUUUUUGCGCGCCAAAAAAAAAAAAUAGCGGAGAGACAAGCACUUAAGAAAACAACAGGAUG
ensembl:ncRNA lncRNA:CR45759 long non-coding RNA:CR45759